rnacentral:misc_RNA from 1 species
UGCUGGUGGAUAUAUAGCUGGUGUCUUCUGUGCCAUUGUAUCCCAUCCUGCUGACAAUCUUGUCUCGUUCCUCAACAAUGCGAAGGGUGCAACUGUUGGUGAUGCCGUAAAGAAGAUAGGAGUAUUGGGCCUCUUUACCCGUGGUCUACCUCUACGUAUUGUCAUGAUUGGAACUCUUACUGGUGCUCAAUGGGGAAUCUAUGAUGCUUUCAAGGUUUUUGUUGGGCUGCCAACAACUGGUGGUGUUGCUCCUGCUGUACCUGCUGACUCUGAGGUUGCGAAGGUGUAGGAUUGAGAACAAAUUAAUUCUUCACCAAGUUUAAAAGUAGACUUCUCCAGAUUAAACAAUAAACAUAGAUUGCAGAUGUUCCUUAAGUGCUCUUUCGUAGUAAGCAAGCUGGAGAGUGUUCUUUCGCUCAACAAUCUUUACAAUUUUAUAUUUCUCUGAUUUUCAAAUUUUUGGAGAGGGGGAGUUCCCCUAAAACUUAAGCAUUGCGGAUGUCUUUUUUUGUUAGAACAGAUAAAAAAAUCAAUUUGAUGCUAAGCUUUUCCCAUUCGAGAUGGGAAUAACAAAGUAUAGUGGAGGCUGCUAUAUGAUUUGCUUUGUUCAUUUUUAACUGUCUGAUGUACCAAAAAAUGUUCUAAAAAAACUUUCCGCAGGCAGGGAGGGACUUGUUAUACAGCUGCAGAAUGAUGA